rnacentral:rRNA from 1 species
AGAGCGAACGCUGGCGGCGUGCUUAACACAUGCAAGUCGAACGCGCAGCAUUCUGUAGCAAUACAGGGUGUGGGCGCGUGGCGAACGGGUGCGUAACACGUGGAUAACCUUCCUUGAGGUGGGGAAUAACCCAGUGAAAAUUGGGCUAAUACCGCAUAACAUCGCGAUGGCACAUGCUGAUGCGAUCAAAGGCGCAAGUCGCCACAAGAGGGAUCCGCGGCCGAUUAGCUUGUUGGCGAGGUAAUGGCUCACCAAGGCAAUGAUCGGUAGCCGGACUGAGAGGUUGGCCGGCCACACUGGAACUGAGACACGGUCCAGACUCCUACGGGAGGCAGCAGUGGGGAAUCUUGCACAAUGGACGAAAGUCUGAUGCAGCAACGCCGCGUGGGGAUGAAGCUUCUCGGAGUGUAACCCCUUUCGACCCGGAAGAAUGCCCGCAAGGUAUGACGGUACGGUAUAAGAAGCCCGGCUAACUACGCG